AUACGGAGGGUGCAAACGUUGUUCGGAAUCACUGGGCAUAAAGAGCAUGUAGGCUGUCCACUCAGUCAGAUGUGAAAGCCCCCGGCUCAACCGGGGAACUGCAUCUGAUACUGGUGGGCUUGAGGAUGGUUGGGGUGAGCGGAACUCCUGGUGGAGCGGUGAAAUGCGUAGAUAUCAGGAGGAACACCGGUGGCGAAGGCGGCUCACUGGACCAUUACUGACGCUGAGAUGCGAAAGCUAGGGGAGCGAACGGGAUUAGAAACCCCAGUAGUCC
rnacentral:rRNA from 1 species